CUCAAGCAACGAUUGAUUAUAUCAUGCUUUUCAUUUGAAUUGAAAGCAAAGAUUGUAUGGAGUCCUAGAUGGCAACUUUAGAUAAAUGUUAAUGCCUAUCUGCUGUAAUUAAACAAAGGAUUGGCCUCAAUUAAUGUUGACAGUCCAUAAACACAGACGACAAAACGUUUCAAACACACGAACGUUAACUUCUCUUAAAGUAGUUUAUCAAAUCCGGGUUACCAGUGUCACGGACAAGACAAUACACCAUAUAUGGGCGAACCGCGACUAAUGAUGAUAUAAUUUCUAGUGUUCGCUUUAUCCAGUGUAAGCUGUAUUUGUUCACGUGCACUGUGGUUGCUGUAAAAUUCUGCGCUGGA